GACGAACGCUGGCGGCGUGCCUAAUACAUGCAAGUAGAACGCUGAAGAGAGGAGCUUGCUCUUCUUGGAUGAGUUGCGAACGGGUGAGUAACGCGUAGGUAACCUGCCUUGUAGCGGGGGAUAACUAUUGGAAACGAUAGCUAAUACCGCAUAACAAUGGAUGACACAUGUCAUUUAUUUGAAAGGGGCAAUUGCUCCACUACAAGAUGGACCUGCGUUGUAUUAGCUAGUAGGAGAGGUAACGGCUCACCUAGGCGACGAUACAUAGCCGACCUGAGAGGGUGAUCGGCCACACUGGGACUGAGACACGGCCCAGACUCCUACGGGAGGCAGCAGUAGGGAAUCUUCGGCAAUGGGGGCAACCCUGACCGAGCAACGCCGCGUGAGUGAAGAGAGGUUUUCGGAUCGUAAAGCUCUGUUGUAAGUCAAGAACGGUGUGAGAGUGGAAAGUUCACACUGUGACGGUAGCUUACCAGAAA
rnacentral:rRNA from 1 species